UACGUAGGGUGCAAGCGUUAAUCGGAAUUACUGGGCGUAAAGCGUGCGCAGGCGGUUAUGUAAGACAGAUGUGAAAUGCCCGGGCUUAACCUGGGAACUGCAUUUGUGACUGCAUGGCUAGAGUUUGGCAGAGGGGGGUAGAAUUCCACGUGUAGCAGUGAAAUGCGUAGAUAUGUGGAGGAACACCGAUGGCGAAGGCAGCCCCCUGGGUCAAUACUGACGCUCAUGCACGAAAGUGUGGGGAGCGAACAGG
rnacentral:rRNA from 1 species